CCUACGGGUGGCAGCAGUGGGGAAUAUUGGACAAUGGGGGCAACCCUGAUCCAGCCAUGCCGCGUGUGUGAAGAAGGCCCUCGAGUUGUAAAGCACUUUCAGUGAGGAAGAACGCCUGGUGGUUAAUACCCAUCAGGAAAGACAUCACUCACAGAAGAAGCACCGGCUAACUCCGUGCCAGCAGCCGCGGUAAUACGGAGGGUGCGAGCGUUAAUCGGAAUUACUGGGCGUAAAGCGCGCGUAGGUGGCUUGAUAAGCCGGUUGUGAAAGCCCCGGGCUCAACCUGGGAACGGCAUCCGGAACUGUCAAGCUAGAGUGCAGGAGAGGAAGGUAGAAUUCCCGGUGUAGCGGUGAAAUGCGUAGAGAUCGGGAGGAAUACCAGUGGCGAAGGCGGCCUUCUGGACUGACACUGACACUGAGGUGCGAAAGCGUGGGUAGCAAACAGGAUUAGAUACCCUAGUAGUC
rnacentral:rRNA from 1 species